AAAUCGGCUUCCCGUCCGAUCAGCCAUGAUAAUCAUCUAAUCGCUACACUAGUACUCAAGUUGGUGACAAUUGGGGAAUCCGUAGUGUUGUAUGUU
rnacentral:rRNA from 1 species